rnacentral:tRNA from 1 species
GCGGGUGUGGCGGAAUUGGCAGACGCACUAGACUUAGGAUCUAGCGUUUUACGACGUGGGGGUUCAAGUCCCUCCACCCGCACCA